GGAUUAGGACAAGUUGUUUUUGAUUUGUCGGAUGAAAAAUAAUGGAGAAUCUUGAGUAGUUGUUAAUGGAUCUGUUGUGAUUUUUGGUGAAUUUGAUGAACUUGUAAAGUGUAAAGAACCGAUAUUGGAGCUGAAUUGCCUCAAAAACCGACCCAAAUAGGAAUCGAGAUGCUCGAUAUAUAUAUCGCCUUUGGUCCCUAGCAUUGGAUUGGUAUAAGUGAGAUCCAUUGGAUUGAUUUCUGUAUUAUUUGGAAGAUAAAAUUUGAGGAAUUUUGAAGCUGUUCUCAUGGAUUAGGACAAGUUUUUUUUUUUUUUUUUGUUUUAUCGGUUAGUGUCUGCACACCUUGAGGCUGUAGAUAGUUAGAAAUAAAGGAGAAUCAUGAGAAAUUGAGAAUGAAUUUGUAAAUGGACCUUAGUUCUUAGAACAGACAUAGGUGAGAUCCAUUGAAUUGAUUUCAGCAACAUUUGGUAAAUACAUUCGAAGAAUUUUGAUGUCCUAAUAGAUUAGGACAAGUUUUCGUUUUCUCGAUUAGUUUUUCCACAUCUUGAGGCUGUAGAUCGUUAACAAUAAGAGAUAAUCAUAUGAGUAUUUGAGGAUGAAUUUGUGAAUGGAUUUUAGUUGCUAGAUCAGACAUAAGUGAGAUCCAUUUUGUAUGAAUCUUGAUUUGUUUAUGUGACUGUUAUGAUUCAGGUAUGAUUAUUCGGGUUACGGGAGGUCUUCAGGGAAGGUAUGAUCCAUUGUGUUUGAUUUUAUUCAAUCAAAUUUCUCAAGAAUGAUGUUUGUUACUUUGGUUUUUUACCAACAGCCUAGUGAGCAGAACACGUAUAGCGAUAUAGAAGCAGUGUAUAGAUGUUUGGAGGAGAAAUAUGGUGUGAAGGAACAGGAUGUUAUCUUAUAUGGACAAUCUGUAGGAAGCGGUCCGACUUUGGAAUUGGCUUCUCGAUUACCUAACCUCCGAGCUGUUGUUCUUCAUAGUGCAAUUGCUUCCGGUCUUAGAGUCAUGUACCCUGUUAAACGAACUUACUGGUUUGACAUUUACAAGGUAAUAUUUCAUUCUCCUUAUCCGCUUUUUUUUCCUGAUUCCGGUUAUUACUACGGUUCUAAUAUGUUUUUGCAAUUGCAGAAUAUCGAGAAGAUAUCUUUUGUCAAAUGUCCGGUUUUAGUAGUUCACGUACGUAUAAUCUCAUAUCCAUUUCGGUUUUUCUUUCUUUUAAAGUCGUUUAGUUAUUUAUUCGGUUGUGCAUGCAGGGAACAUCAGAUGAUGUUGUAAAUUGGUCUCAUGGGAAGCAAUUAUUCGAUCUGUGUAAAGAAAAAUAUGAACCGCUUUGGAUCAAAGGAGGGAACCAUUGUGAUUUAGAGUUAUACCCACAAUACAUAAAGCAUCUGAGGAAAUUUGUAUCAGCGAUUGAAAAAUCGCCUCAUCUUAGAAACGGACCUGUGCCACAAACAGAGAAGGCGAGGAGCAGUACAGAUAUUAGAGAACCUGCAAGACCAAGCACAGAUCAAAGAGAGAAAUCAAGAACAAGCACAGAUCAAAGAGAGAUGCCGAAGCUGAGUACAGAUAAAGCGAGAGCAAGCGUUGAUAAGCGAGAGAGAACAAGAAAAAGCGUUGAUGGGACUGAUAAACCGAGUAAUUCCACGGAACAGCAACUACUACAACCAGAGAAAGGGAGGAAUAGCAUUGACAGGUAAAAAAAACAAUUUCUCAGAUUUGUAAGAUGAUGGUGAUGAUGUUGAUCAUGAUGAUGGUGAUGAUGAUGGUGAUGAUGGUAACAGGUUUGGGGAGAUGAUAAGAUCAGUAGGAUUUUGCAACAUAGAUUGUUUCAAGCCUACAGCAACAGCUAAGUGAGGUAAGAGAAGAACACACUCACACAAGGAUCAAAAACAUCUAACUUUAGUUGUUUGAUUUUGGUUUGUUAUCUCUUUCCACUUACUUCCUCUUGUGCUUUGGAAUUUAACAAGUCACUCGUCAAUGUUUGAUUCAAAAGCUUGAUUUCGUUAUUAUAAACUAUGAAUGAUACUACAGAUUAGAUUAUGUUCAUGCGCAUUACAUGGCAUUUACCAUGAGAAAUCUACAGUGUAGCUUGGUUUGUCACCGUAAGGCGGUCUUCUUGUCGCUUAAGGUGGCUUUGCGCCUAGGCAUGCUCUAAAAACCAAAUAUGUAUAAAUAUGAAGCAAUCAAUAGUUAAGAGAGUCAUGAAAAGGCAAAAUAUGUGUAUCUGCAUUACAUUUUUAUACAGAGUUUCUAUAAACAACACUCAUGGUGGUAUUUAACCAGAAGCAAGCA
rnacentral:lncRNA from 1 species